rnacentral:rRNA from 1 species
GAUGAACGCUGGCGGCGUGCCUAAUACAUGCAAGUAGAACGCUGAAGGAGGAGCUUGCUCUUCUGGAUGAGUUGCGAACGGGUGAGUAACGCGUAGGUAACCUGCCUGGUAGCGGGGGAUAACUAUUGGAAACGAUAGCUAAUACCGCAUGACAUCAGUUAUUGCAUGAUAACUGUUUAAAAGGGGCAACUGCUCCACUACCAGAUGGACCUGCGUUGUAUUAGCUAUGUUGUGAGGUAACGGCUCACCAAGGCGACGAUACAUAGCCGACCUGAGAGGGUGAUCGGCCACACUUGGACUGAGACACGGCCCAGACUCCUACGGGAGGCAGCAGUAGGGAAACUUCGGCAAUGGACGGAAGUCUGACCGAGCAACGCCGCGUGAGUGAAGAAGGUUUUCGGAUCGUAAAGCUCUGUUGUAAGGGAAGAACGAGUGUGAGAGUGGAAAGUUCACACUGUGACGGUAUCUUACCAGAAAGGGACGGCUAACUACGUG